rnacentral:rRNA from 1 species
UACAGAGGGGGCAAGCGUUGUUCGGAUUUACUGGGCGUAAAGGGCGCGUAGGCGGCGCAACAAGUCACUUGUGAAAUCUCCGGGCUUAACCCGGAGCGGCCAAGUGAUACUGUCGUGCUAGAGUGCGGAAGGGGCUACUGGAAUUCUCGGUGUAGCGGUGAAAUGCGUAGAUAUCGAGAGGAACACCUGCGGCGAAGGCGGGUAGCUGGGCCGACACUGACGCUGAGGCGCGAAAGCCAGGGGAGCGAACGGG